AUAAAUAGCCAGAGGCUUUUAACCUUCCAGGCGAACAAGACUUGGUCCUCCGAGUUGGGCUAGAGUAGCUUCCGGCUGUUUGUCUUAGGAGUGGUCUCAGAUUUAGGGAGGUGGCUUGAAAGGCUUGGGGCACAGGCGGAUUUAGAGACCUUGAAAGUUAAGCCUUUAUCUCUUUGGUCAAGGAAACUCAGGGAUGGAAUUAUACUCUCCUCACUGCACCUCUGGUCCUGUUUUAUUUACAAAAUGAGAAAUAGUUUUUUGACGAUAAAAGGGAUGGAUCUCAGGGCCUCCUACGUGUUAGGUGAAUAGUGCGAUACAAUGAGGCACCGUUGGAAGUCACGCUCCAGAAACUCCUGACGUACCAGCAUUGAGGAGUGAUGGUUCGCGGAACCACCACCAGGCCCCAAUCAGUGACUAAUCAGAGUUGCCGGGGUCAAGAAUGCAGGUGGGGCUUUAUGCGCAGCAAUUCGUUCAUCCACCAAUCAGAGCCCGCAGAGCUCCAGCUCCUGAGCCAAUUGCCUGCUAGGGUGCGUUGAGAGCUGGUUCAAAAUUUAAAAAAAUAGAGGGGUGAGGUAAUAAAACGGCCAUUGUGAGAGAGGCUGAGGGCUGACCGAAGAGUGAGAUCCGUCCAAAGUGAGUGUUAGUAGGCAGGACAGAACCCGACCUUGCGGCAAGCAUGCCCGUCCCUAUACAUGAAGGAGAUAUUCCUUCACUGUAUUCCAUACUCCUUCCCCACAAACAAAAUGGUACAUUGCAAGAUGGCCGACCCUUGGUAGUGGUAUGCUCCAUCGUGCGUUCUUCCCCACGCCCGGCGUGGUUCAUUCCAGGCUGCCACACCUGAGGUCACACAGACUGGGGAAUGUACUCACACGGGGAUUUUUUGGACACUGCCACCGUCACAUACAUGGGGGUGGACAUUCUGAGGGCACACAGAUUGAGAUGUGACUAUUUCCUGACGCUACAAAAAUUGGUACACGGGGCUGGGGAUGUGGCUCAAGCGGUAGCGCGCUCGCCUGACAUGCGUGCGGCCCGGGUUCGAUCCUCAGCACCACAUACCAACAAAGAUGUUGUGUCUGCCAAGAA